UCGCCAUUGAAUUUUAUUUAUUCUAAGAGAAAGGUAAAAUAUCAAUAAAAUCCAAAGGGAAAAGAAAAAGGGUAAGGAAGUUGGUUAUGCAAGGGGAAGAUAUUAGCACUCCUCAUAUCCGUUGUACUCAACGAGAACCACUGAUCAGUGCAUUUUGAUACAUAUUCUUCUAGUAUUCUACUUAGACAACUCUAUAGUUUAUUCUAUUAUUUUUACUAUUUUAGUGUGUUUUUAUAUUUAAGUUUAUUUUUGGUUUUAUUUUAUUUUCGUACUUUAUUUUCAGCAUAAAUAGUUAUUUGAUACCUUGUUACUAUGC
rnacentral:lncRNA from 1 species